UACGUAGGGGGCAAGCGUUGUCCGGAAUCAUUGGGCGUAAAGCGCGUGUAGGCGGCAUUGCAAGUCGGGUGUGAAAGCCCUCGGCUCAACCGAGGAAGUGCGCCCGAUACUGGAAGGCUUGAAUCCGGGAGAGGGAUGCGGAAUUCCAGGUGUAGCGGUGAAAUGCGUAGAUAUCUGGAGGAACACCGGUGGCGAAGGCGGCAUCCUGGACCGGCAUUGACGCUGAGGCGCGAAAGCGUGGGGAGCAAACGGGG
rnacentral:rRNA from 1 species